AGAGUUUGAUCCUGGCUCAGGAUGAACGCUAGCUACAGGCUUAACACAUGCAAGUCGAGGGGCAGCAUGGUCUUAGCUUGCUAAGGCCGAUGGCGACCGGCGCACGGGUGAGUAACACGUAUCCAACCUGCCGUCUACUCUUGGACAGCCUUCUGAAAGGAAGAUUAAUACAAGAUGGCAUCAUGAGUCCGCAUGUUCACAUGAUUAAAGGUAUUCCGGUAGACGAUGGGGAUGCGUUCCAUUAGAUAGGUAGGCGGGGUAACGGCCCACCUAGUCUUCGAUGGAUAGGGGUUCUGAGAGGAAGGUCCCCCANAUUGGAACUGAGACACGGUCCAAACGUCCUACGGGAGGCA
rnacentral:rRNA from 1 species